GUCCCAGCCGUAAACGGUGUGCACUUGGUGUGGGAGGAAUUAUCCCCUUCCGUGCCGUAGCUAACGCGAUAAGUGCACCGCCUGGGGAGUACGGCCGCAAGGCUAAAACUCAAAGAAAUUGACGGGGGCCCGCACAAGCGGUGGAGCAUGUGGCUUAAUUCGAUGCAACGCGAAGAACCUUACCAGGGCUUGACAUGUAACUGCACGCCCGGUGAAAGCCGGGUUCCUUCGAGGGUGUUACACAGGUGCUGCAUGGCUGUCGU
rnacentral:rRNA from 1 species